GUUUCAGUGAUUCCCAACUGUUGAAAGAUACAGUAGUAUCCUCUUUUCAUUCCAAACUGAAGUUCACUUUAGACUUUUGCCAUCUGUGAGCUUGUGGCAUCACACUUGGUGCUGUAUUUAUUACUGAUGGAACAGCAGUUUUAGUGCUACUCUCUUCUCCACUUCUUCAUCUCUGUAUGCUUACAUCAGAGGAGAGAGGACUGCAGUCACACCAACACCCAGCACGAAGGCCUAGGGCAACUUACGAUUCUGGAUCACCUAGAUUAGUCACACUGCAGCAGAAGAUGCCAAAAUGAUGCUGACAGUGAUGUGGAUGUGGAUGUGAAGUUGAAGGAAGAGAUUUAGUACCUCCAGCUGCUGCAGGAGGAGCAGGAGACUGAUGUCACUCUGUGUGUUGGUUCUGCUGUUCGGUUGAAGGCCCACAGGGCGGUGCUGCUGGCCCGAGCUCCUCACCUCCUGCAGGGAACCGAAGCAUCUACACCUGUCAUUCACCUGCAGGGGAUUGAACCUGCAGCCCUCAAGGACUUUAUACAGUACAUAAUGCAUUUUCUAUAUUCCUCUACACCAACUCGAUUAUUAUUAUUAGUAAUUGCAUUGAAAUUAAAGGUGUUUUUCAUCCUUUAAAAAUGUAAAAUAGCACUAUGGAUCUGCCUUGUACAAUUCU
rnacentral:lncRNA from 1 species